GCGGACCCGCGCAGCGCGGCCUCUGUCCGAUACGACCCUGGCGUACUUCCCCGACGCCAGGUUCGCACCAUCGGACAGGGACCGGGCGGCGCGGGUUCGUUGCG
rfam:Mycobacterium abscessus strain PAP053 genome assembly, contig: ERS075544SCcontig000007